rnacentral:rRNA from 1 species
GACGAACGCUGGCGGCGUGCUUAACACAUGCAAGUCGAGCGGAAAGGCCCUGCUUUUGUGGGGUGCUCGAGUGGCGAACGGGUGAGUAACACGUGAGUAACCUGCCCUUGACUUUGGGAUAACUUCAGGAAACUGGGGCUAAUACCGGAUAGGAGCUCCUGCUGCAUGGUGGGGGUUGGAAAGUUUCGGCGGUUGGGGAUGGACUCGCGGCUUAUCAGCUUGUUGGUGGGGUAGUGGCUUACCAAGGCUUUGACGGGUAGCCGGCCUGAGAGGGUGACCGGCCACAUUGGGACUGAGAUACGGCCCAGACUCCUACGGGAGGCAGCAGUGGGGAAUAUUGCACAAUGGGCGGAAGCCUGAUGCAGCAACGCCGCGUGCGGGAUGACGGCCCUCGGGUUGUAAACCGCUUUCGCCUGUGACGAAGCGUGAGUGACGGUAAUGGGUAAAGAAGCACCGGCUAACUACGUG